GAAAUGCGAUAAGUAAUGUGAAUUGCAGAAUUCAGUGAAUCAUCGAAUCUUUGAACGCACAUUGCGCCCAUUAGUAUUCUAGUGGGCAUGCCUGUUCGAGCGUCAUUUCAACCCUUAAGCCUAGCUUAGUGUUGGGAAUUUACAGUUAUGUAAUUCCUGAAAUACAACGGCGGAUCUGUGGUAUCCUCUGAGCGUAGUAAAUUAUUUCUCGCUUUUGUCAGGUGCUGCAGCUCCCAGCCGCUAAACCCCCAAUUUUUUGUGGUUGACCUCGGAUCAGGUAGGAAUACCCGCUGAACUUAA
rnacentral:misc_RNA from 1 species